CCGAGGCGCGGCGAUUCCUCCGACUCCUUCGCCGCCAGCGCCGAUUCGACCACGCGAGAUGCCGCCCAAGCGGAAGCGCGGGGGCCGGAGGCCGCGCAAGGCCCCCGCCGACCCCGCCACCAAGGGAAACAGCCAGGAAAAUGGCAACGAGGAGAUACUGCAGGCUCCUGCUAAGGAGAAUGGCGCAGAAGGAACAGCUGAGGCCUCAAGAACGACGAGAAAGCGCAGGAAGGAUCCUGUUGCUGACCCUUCUUCUCUUGGGCCUAGGACCAUGCGGCCUCGGGAGAGGCGGAAUGUUCAAGUGGUACAGGAGCCUGAGAAGACAAGAAAGAUCUAUGGCAAUUCAACCAUGUGCCAUCAGUGCCAGAGGAACGAUAGCGGAAGAGUUGUACGGUGCCUGCGCUGCAUUGGAGCAAAUAGGAGAUACAGAUACUGUGUGAAGUGCAUUAAACGCUGGUAUCCACAUUUAUCAGAGGAUGAUUUUGUGAAUAAUUGCCCAGUUUGUCGCAACAAUUGUAAUUGUAAGGCUUGUCUGCGGGGAGACAUUACCAGAGUCAGCUCCAAGAGGGGUAAGAAGUCUCCCGAGAUAAAGGCUAAUGAAUGGAGUGUAUCUGUAGAAGAUAAAAUUAAAUUCUCUACGCGUGCUCUGCGCUUUCUGCUCCCUUGGCUGAAAGAAUUUCACCAAGAGCAGAUGCUAGAGAGAAGUGUUGAGGCCUCGAUUAGAGGAAUUGAUCCGGGCAAAAUGGAGGUUCCUCUAGUUAAGUGUGAAAGCGACGAACGGAUAUACUGUGACAAGUGCAGGACAUCUAUUGUUGACUUCCACAGAAGUUGCAGCAAAUGCUCCUACGAUCUCUGCCUCAGCUGCUGCCGGGAACUUCGUCAAGGCCUUACUCCUGUUGGUGAUGUCACUAGUGGCAAGGUUACUAGCCUACCUGAUGCUGGAGGCAAGGAAGAUUUGCAUCAUGGAAGUAGUGAUGAUAAAGUUGCAAGUCAAGAGCCUUCUGAUGGACAUAAUGACAUGUUGAUAGAUAGUGCAGUUCCUUCUGAGGACCACACUCCUAAUUUGAGACAAUGGAGGGUAAAUAACAAUGGAAGCAUACCUUGCCCACCGAAUGAAUUUGGUGGUUGUGGAAGUUCUCUUCUUGAACUUAAGUGUUUGUUUGAGGAGAAGUUUAUUGUUGACUUACUGGAGAAAGCCAAUUCAGUGGUCAACAAUGGAACAAUGCUGGAGUUGGGAGGUUCAAAAUGUUCCUGCUUCACUGAAUCCAGUGACAUGAACGAUGCAACAUCACGGAAAUCAGCUUGUAGAGAGAACUCCCAUGAUAACCACAUAUAUUGUCCAACUGCUAGAGACGUUCAAAAUGGAAGUUUGGAUCAUUUCCAGGAGCACUGGUUGAAGGGUCAUCCUGUUAUUGUCCGUGAUACACUUGCAUUGACUUCUGGAUUGAGCUGGGAACCAAUGGUUAUGUGGCGGGCCUUACGAGAAAAGAGAGACAAAAAGAAAGAUGAGCGACUCUCAGUUAUUGCUCUUGAAUGUUUGACGUGGUGUGAGGUUGAUAUUAAUAUUCAUAUGUUUUUUGAUGGAUAUUCCCGUGGAGCUGUUGGCCCAGAGGAUCUGCCUGUGUUACUUAAGCUGAAAGAUUGGCCACAACAUAGCUCCUUUGAGGAUCGACUGCCACGACAUAAUACUGAAUUCAUGUCUGCUUUGCCAUUUCGUGAAUACACAGACCCUAAAUCUGGCCCUCUCAAUCUGGCAGUGAAGCUGCCCGAAAAUGUUAAAAAGCCAGACCUUGGUCCAAAGACUUAUAUUGCUUACGGUGUUGCCCAAGAGUUGGGAAUUGGUGAUUCUGUUACCAAGAUUCAUUGUGACAUGUCUGAUGCGGUCAAUAUCCUAACGCAUACUGAUGAAAUAAAGCUCAAAGUCCAAAGGAUUACAGCUAUAGAGAGAAAGAAAGAGAGCUUAAGCAAAAAGGAAGAGAAUGGAAAUUGCCAAGUUUCACAAACAGAUCCUGAAUCAACCAUGAGGGCAAGACGUAAAGGGUUGAAAAGUGGCUCAAACAUGAGGCGGUCAGUACUAGAUGUUGCAUCGGAGGAGCAGGCAGGUGUUCAAAAAGCUGUGGUAGCAGUUGAAGCUGAGGGAAACUUGACUGAGGCAAAUGGACAAGUCUCCAAUCAAAGCGAUGCAGAUCAUAUGGAUGUUUCUUUUUCUGAAGGGAAAGCAGAAUAUUCUUUCUGCACAACCAACAGGGGAGAGAAGGUUGGAAAUGGUUCCAGCAGUGAAGAUAAAAGUGGAUCUCCAAAUGAUGUUGAGGGACAAUGUGAACCUAAGGUGGGUGCAAUUGCCAUAUCUCUUGAGCCAAAAGACGAUAAGGCCCUAUUAGUAGAGGGGAACCAGUCAGAGGGUGGUGCAUUGUGGGAUAUCUUCAGACGGGAAGAUGUCAGCAAACUACAUGAUUAUCUAAUAAAGCAUGCAGAGGAGUUCAGGCAUUGUAAUUAUGGACCAGUGAAGCAGGUUGCUCAUCCUAUACAUGAUCAAUGCUUCUAUCUAACAAAUGAGCACAAGAAAAGGCUUAAGGAAGAAUAUGGAAUUGAACCUUGGACAUUUGAACAGAAGCUUGGUGAGGCAGUAUUUAUCCCAGCAGGAUGUCCCCACCAAGUCAGAAAUUUGAAGUCAUGUAUAAAGGUUGCACUUGAUUUUGUUUCACCGGAAAAUGUGCAAGAGUGCAUCAGGCUGACAGAAGAAUUUCGCCUGCUUCCGAAGGGGCAUAGGGUGAACGAAGAUAAACUAGAGGUAAAGAAGAUAGCUCUUCAUGCUCUCAACCAAGCCAUUAAGGAUGUCAGUGGGUAUGAUUGUAAGGAAAGUGUGAGGAAUGAAGCUAAAGAUGAGCCUAGCUCGAGUGAAGCUGCAGAGGUGGAGGUGCACGAGAAAUGACCAUGUCAAGUGUAGCACAAGCGCACUGUCGUUGCCUUUAGGCCUGAUUUCUCUGUGGCCUCAUGUUUUGAUAUAGAUGAAGCUGCUUUUGUGUAACUGAACUGGUGCUUUUGCAAGUAGUCUGACAACAAUACUUGUGAUGCAUCUGUCCUGGUCUUGACUUCGGCGCGUGGCGUGUCUGGGCAAGCCGGUCAUGGAGAUGGGCAGAGGAUGGCUCGCCACUUUCACUGGUUUAACCGGAUAACACAUCAUGGAUGGAUGGAUGGAUCGAUCAAUUCGGUCUCGGUAAAAGACGUGUUAAGUAGCCAGCCAAUGCAGUGCUGUAAAUUUUUCGACCGCGAUGGUUUUGUCUUGGGUCGCAGCAUGCCAAGUCAAUGAAGUACUUGUGUAUAUACAGAGACAGGCGUUGGUGAGGUGUGCAGAGCUGAAAUGGCUAGCGUUGGGUAGGAAUAUCAUACUGAUGCUCUUUACAGGCCGGCUAACAGCUGCCACGACUGGCCGGCAGGUCGCGGAGAUGAUUGGAGUGAAUAUACACUUCUAUUUGAAGGAAUUCGUGAAGUGAAAGGAGAGAGAAUCUCGAUCUAAAGAGAAUAAAUUUGAGAAUCUCCAACCAUAUUUCAUUCAUUU